rnacentral:rRNA from 1 species
GCCUACGGGGGGCAGCAGUGGGGAAUAUUGCACAAUGGGGGGAACCCUGAUGCAGCGACGCCGCGUGAGUGAAGAAGUAUUUCGGUACGUAAAGCUCUAUCAGCAGGGAAGAAAAAAGGACGGUACCUGAGUAAGAAGCCCCGGCUAACUACGUGCCAGCAGCCGCGGUAAUACGUAGGUGGCAAGCGUUGUCCGGAUUUACUGGGUGUAAAGGGCGUGUAGCCGGGAAGGCAAGUCAGAUGUGAAAUCCGGAGGCUCAACAUCCGAAUUGCAUUUGAAACUGUUUUUCUUGAGUACUGGAGAGG